rnacentral:rRNA from 1 species
CCUACGGGUGGCAGCAGUGAGGAAUAUUGGGCAAUGGGGGCAACCCUGACCCAGCCAUGCCGCGUGAGUGAAGAAGGUCUUCGGAUUGUAAAGCUCUUUCGGCCGUGACGAUGAUGACGGUAGCAUCUAAAGAAGCACCGGCUAACUUCGUGCCCGCAGCCGCGGUAAUACGAAGGGGGCGAGCGUUGUUCGGAAUUACUGGGCGUAAAGGGAGUGUAGGCGGCUAAGUAAGAUAGCGGUGAAAUGCCGGGGCUCAACCCCGGGACUGCCAUUAUGACUAUGUAUCUUGAGUGAUGGAGAGGAUAGCGGAAUACCCAGUGUAGAGGUGAAAUUCGUAGAUAUUGGGAAGAACACCAGUGGCGAAGGCGGAUAGCUGGACAUUUACUGACGCUGAGGCUCGAAAGCAUGGGGAGCAAACAGGAUUAGAUACCCCUGUAGUC